UCUAAGGAUGAAUGAAAUGAAAAUUUCAUUCUAAAUAAUAUACAGGUAAUGUUGACCGUCCUCAUUUCUCUUCUUAAAGUAGUGUUUCUCUUGCAUGGGGGCCGGUAGCUCAGUUGGUUAGAGCACACCCUUGAUAAGGGUGGGGUCGAAAGUUCGAGUCUUUCUCGGCCCACCAAUUUAAGAUCAUGGGGGAUUAGCUCAGCUGGGAGAGCGCCUGAUUUGCAUUCAGGAGGUCAGCGGUUCGAUCCCGCUAUCCUCCACCAAAACACUUAGUUAUAAAAAUUCGUGAAUGAAAUAAUUAUUAAUAUCAAUAUCUAUAUCCGAACAUUAGUAAUAUUAUAAUCUAAUGUUCAAAUAAAAAUUUGAUUCAACACAGAAUUUUUUUCUGUGCAUAAAU
rnacentral:tRNA from 1 species